GUGCUCACUUUGACAGCACAUAUACUAAAAUUGGAAUGAUACAGAGAAGAUGAGCAUGGCCCCUGCAUAAGGAUGACACGAAAAUUUUUGAAGCAUUCCAUAUUUUU
rnacentral:snRNA from 1 species